rnacentral:rRNA from 1 species
GGGUUGUGAGGUUAAGCGACUAAGCGUACACGGUGGAUGCCCUGGCAGUCAGAGGCGAUGAAGGACGUGCUAAUCUGCGAAAAGCGUCGGUAAGGUGAUAUGAACCGUUAUAACCGGCGAUGUCCGAAUGGGGAAACCCAGUGCAAUUCGUUGCACUAUCGUUAACUGAAUACAUAGGUUAACGAGGCGAACCGGGGGAACUGAAACAUCUAAGUACCCCGAGGAAAAGAAAUCAACCGAGAUUCCCCCAGUAGCGGCGAGCGAACGGGGAGCAGCCCAGAGUCUGAAUCAGCUUGUGUGUUAGUGGAACGGUCUGGAAAGUCCGACGGUACAGGGUGAUAGUCCCGUACACCAAAAUGCACAGGCUGUGAACUCGAAGAGUAGGGCGGGACACGUGGUAUCCUGUCUGAAUAUGGGGGGACCAUCCUCCAAGGCUAAAUACUCCUGACUGACCGAUAGUGAACCAGUACCGUGAGGGAAAGGCGAAAAGAACCCCGGCGAGGGGAGUGAAAAAGAACCUGAAACCGUGUACGUACAAGCAGUGGGAGCACCUUCGGGUGUGACUGCGUACCUUUUGUAUAAUGGGUCAGCGACUUAUAUUCUGUAGCAAGGUUAACCGUAUAGGGGAGCCGCAGGGAAACCGAGUCUUAACUGGGCGUUAAGUUGCAGGGUAUAGACCCGAAACCCGGUGAUCUAGCCAUGGGCAGGUUGAAGGUUGGGUAACACUAACUGGAGGACCGAACCGACUAAUGUUGAAAAAUUAGCGGAUGACUUGUGGCUGGGGGUGAAAGGCCAAUCAAACCGGGAGAUAGCUGGUUCUCCCCGAAAGCUAUUUAGGUAGCGCCUCGUGAACUCAUCUUCGGGGGUAGAGCACUGUUUCGGCUAGGGGGUCAUCCCGACUUACCAACCCGAUGCAAACUACGAAUACCGAAGAAUGUUAUCACGGGAGACACACGGCGGGUGCUAACGUCCGUCGUGAAGAGGGAAACAACCCAGACCGCCAGCUAAGGUCCCAAAGUCAUGGUUAAGUGGGAAACGAUGUGGGAAGGCACAGACAGCCAGGAUGUUGGCUUAGAAGCAGCCAUCAUUUAAAGAAAGCGUAAUAGCUCACUGGUCGAGUCGGCCUGCGCGGAAGAUGUAACGGGGCUAAACCAUGCACCGAAGCUGCGGCAGCGACACUAUGUGUUGUUGGGUAGGGGAGCGUUCUGUAAGCCUGCGAAGGUG